GGGCAGGUGGCGGAAUGGCAGACGCGCAGGACUUAGAAUCCUGUCCUGAGAGGGGUGCGGGUUCAAGUCCCGCCUUGCCCA
rnacentral:tRNA from 1 species